GGGGUUAUGGCGCUGCACACGCUGCUCCUGCUGCUGGGGCGGCCCAGACCCAGACGCCUGCUGGAGCUGAUCCUCAGGAGCAGUCCAUUGUGAUGACACCUUCUUUCCUGCCUCAGCCUACUGCCUUGCUUAAACACUGCAGGAGCUGUCUCAAAGGAGCUGUACACAGUGUUAGUGCCUUCUCUCGAGCCUCCCCCAGCAGCCCCACACAGAUGGCGCCUCAGCAAACUCCACCUGCAGUUGGGAAGGACAUUCCACCCUAAGCCUUGGCCUCAAUGCAGGGAAAAGAGGCGGUUAAAAAAAAAAAAAAA